rnacentral:misc_RNA from 1 species
GGCUUCCUCGCAGGUUUCUGUGGCAGCAUUGCAUUUCUCGACCUCUUUCUGGUACUGAGAUGCCAUUCUUCUAGCCUCCACGAGGGUAGCAUUCAUAUGAUGGCUGUGCUCCUCUGCAACGGUCUCCUGCAGCUUGAGUUCCUCCGUAAGGAGAUCCACAAACUGCUUCUCCAUCUCCUUGCUCAGCUCUGGCUCAUUUCUCCCGCAGUCUGUAACAGAGAGGUUGACAAGUCCAGGGGAAAUCUUG